AUUGGGAUAGCUGGGUCAAAUGGCGGCUCCAUUCCAGAUUUCCUGAGGAAUCUCCAUACUCCUUUCCAGAUUGGUUGCAUCAAUUUGCAGUCCCACUAGCAAU
rnacentral:pre_miRNA from 1 species